GGGGGAGGGAUAAAAUGCAGUCGACGGACUCAUAUUGAACCUAGUGAUUUAUGAGUUAGUGGCGGACGGGUGAGUAACGCGUGGAUAACCUGCCGUAUACCGGGGGAUAACACUUAGAAAUAGGUGCUAAUACCGCAUAAGCGCACGGCUCCGCAUGGGGCAGUGUGAAAAACUCCGGUGGUAUACGAUGGAUCCGCGUCUGAUUAGCUAGUUGGCGGGGUAACGGCUCACCAAGGCAGCGAUCAGUAGCCGGCCUGAGAGGGUGGACGGCCACAUUGGGACUGAGACACGGCCCAAACUCCUACGGGAGGCAGCAGUGGGGAAUAUUGCACAAUGGGGGAAACCCUGAUGCAGCGACGCCGCGUGAGUGAAGAAGGGUUUCGGCUCGUAAAGCUCUGUUGGUAGUGAAGAAAGAUAGAGGUAGUAACUGGCCUUUAUUUGACGGUAAUUACUUAGAAAGUCACGGCUAACUACGUGCCAGCAGCCGCGGUAAUACGUAGGUGGCAAGCGUUGUCCGGAUUUAUUGGGCGUAAAGCGAGUGCAGGCGGUUCAAUAAGUCUGAUGUGAAAGCCUUCGGCUCAACCGGAGAAUUGCAUCAGAAACUGUUGAACUUGAGUGCAGAAGAGGAGAGUGGAACUCCAUGUGUAGCGGUGGAAUGCGUAGAUAUAUGGAAGAACACCAGUGGCGAAGGCGGCUCUCUGGUCUGCAACUGACGCUGAGGCUCGAAAGCAUGGGUAGCGAACAGGAUUAGAUACCCUGGUAGUCCAUGCCGUAUACGAUGAGUGCUAAGUGUUGGGAGGUUUCCGCCUCUCAGUGCUGCAGCUAACGCAUUAAGCACUCCGCCUGGGGA
rnacentral:rRNA from 1 species